CAGGCAUCCACAGAGGUUGUGAGGUCUGUUGGAAACUAGGCAAGUGGGGUUUAUAUAUCUUUGGAAAGUUCAGGGUGGGAGAAAGAACUUUUGCUGUUUGAGGCAAGUGUGAAUGUUGCAAUUGGCCACCUUGAUUAGCAUUGAAAAGCCUUGCAGCUUCAAAGCCUGGCUGUUUCCUUCUUGGGGAAUCUUUUGUUGGGAGGUGUUAGCUGACCCUGAUUGUUUCAUGUCUGGAAUUCCUCUGAUUUCUGAGCAUUGUUCUUUAUUUACUGUCCUGAUUUUAGAGUUUUUAAUACUGGUAGCCAGAUUUUGUUCAUCUUCAUGAACAAAAUUUCCUCCUUUCUGUUGAAAGGAUUCCCCAGGCAGGAAGCAGCCAGACUUUGAAGGUGCAAGGCCAUUUAAUGCUAAUCAAGGUGGCCCAUUGCACCAUUCACACUUGUCUCAAACAGCAAAAGUUCUUCCUCCCACCCUGGACUUUCCACAGAUAUAUAAACCCCACUUGCCUAGUUCCAACAGACCUCACAGCCUCUGAGGAUGCCUGCUAUAGAUGCAGGCAAAACGUCGGGAGAAAAUGCUUCUGGAACAUGGCCAUACAGUCCCGGAAAACUCACAGCAACAGCAACACAACUAUUCCGGCCAUGAAAGCCUUCGACAACACAUUGCUAAAAUAUUUUUAAACAAUUUAAUUCCCAUCACUCUUGGAAAGACAUUGUCACCUCUCUUUCCAAAAACAUUCCUAAGGCAAGUCCACCGUCCCACCAAAGUUAAGUAUUAAAAUAACAAUACAACCUCCCUCCCCCCCUCCCCCAAACAGAAGUCCUCACGUUUUACAACUGGUAACUCCAAAGCUCAACUUUGGGGAGCAUUAUAUUUCCCCAUUAUUUCCCCAUUGUCCUUUUAUUUUUAUAAUGUGUGUUUUGGAUUUCAGUCGCUUGUAACUUAAUUCCCUCUCCCUCCCCGAUUUCUUUCUCUCGUUUUUGGUUAAUCGCUAGGGUUUGUCGGGCAGGAAGGACUUGGGAGGGGAGAAGAAAAGGCCGAGCGAAUGGGAACUCCAGGUACAGGGAAGUGGGUCGCGGAGAAGGCGUGAGAACAAGCCUCAGGUGUAGGUUCCCUUCUAACCUCCCUUUCUUGCCUCUGCCUUAGGAAGCUGAAGCGACUGCAGAGAGUUGUGGAGACGCCUGGGAGGCCGCAAAAUUUCCAUACAAAUCCCACUAAAUUCAACGACCCGAAUUCCAUUUCACGGGAGGAAUGAAUGGACUCCUUUCCAAGGAGGCGAGUUCGGAUUUUGUCUCAUGGCUGAAGCUGGAUAAGAAAUCGUAGGUUCUCCUCUUUGGCUACAACCGGAAGAAAGUGUUCUCCUGUGCAAGCCUUAUUCAAGAUUCUCACAGCAUGGAGAACCGACAUGUUGUUGUGUUUUGAGUGUUUGGGUUCGGAAUCCGAGAGACCAGGAUUCCUCUUCAGCGAUGGAAACCCACUGGGUGACUUCGGGCAAAUCUCUAACCCCUUUGAAAUUAGAAUGAUUUUAGAGGAUUUAAAGUAGCUCUUAAUUUUAUGAACAACGGGGAAAAUAAUAGUUCUGCCAGAGGGCAAAGUCACAGCGGUGACCAACGCCCUGGAAAUGUCCAAAAUGAACGUUAAGUGGGUUAAUUCAACAAUUCAGAAAACUUUGCAAUCGCUCUUCCUGUUUCCACCACUAAAGUAGUUUAGGAACAUUAUAAAUUCUGUAUUCUGCCUCAACUGCUUCGGAUGUGAGGCUUGAUUUUAAAACACAACACCACAGUUCGGUCCUGAAGACAUCUAAAGGACAUUUGGUCUGAAAUCCUAUAUUCAUUUAACUAGGAGCCAAUUGGUUGAACACGUAUAGGACUGCUGCAUUAUGGUGUAAAUUUGGGGUAGAGAGAAAUCGGUUUGAAUGUGCACAGAUUGGAGCUAGGGAGCUAUAAAAAUCAAAAUAAAUAAAACCACACUAGCCAGAACUCAAAGGCGAAUCUUGACAGGGAGUUAGAGCACUGAUUCAAUGGAACUCACAUAAAUGUUCCUAUGCCAAGUACCCAUGGGCUAUUUGGCUAUGGACACCUCAGGAGGAAUUCUUUGCAUGACCCACAGAAAAUUAAUCAUAACUUUGUGCAUAUGGACUGGGCUAUGUAUGCAUGUAUGCAAUCCUCGUUUGAGAACUCAGAAAUGAAGGCCAAUGCAAUUCACUCCAUCUUCCUCUACAGGACUGUAUGGCUUGAGGCUACCAUUAUAAUUGUGUUGAAAACACAGAAAUGCUGGACCACUCUAACAAUUACCAUUUUAUACCAUGCAGAAAAGCCCCUGAAAUCCACAAGCAUGUGGACAAUUUCAACAGAAAGGAGAAAAGCAUGAAAAUGAAUAACAUCUGACUACCAGUACUAAAAAAAACCCCUCUAAAAUCAGGAUAGUAAAUAAAAAAACUAACACUCAAAAACAGGGGGAUUCCAGACAUGAAACAAUCAGGGCCAGCUAAAACCUCCUAACAAAGGAUUCCCCCAGGAAAGUAAGUAGCCAGGUUUUGACACUGCAAGGUUAUUCAAUGCUAAUCAAGUUGGCUAAUUGCAAAAUUCACACUUGCCUCAAAUAGGCAAGAGUUCUUUUUCCCACCCUAGACCUUCCACAGAUAUAUAAACCUCACUUGUCCAGUCUCCAACAGACCUCACAACUUCUGAGGGUGCCUGCCAUAAAUGGGGGCAAAACAUCAGGAGAUAAUGCUUCUGGAACAUACAGCUCGGGAAAACUCACAGCAACCCACUGAAAUGGUAUCAUUAUUGGACUGGGGAUCCAGGGAAUCAGCCUUCAAAUCCCCGCUCAGUCACGGAAACCUAAGCCUCAGAGGAAUGCAAUGACAAACCCUCUCUGAACAAAUGUGUCCAGGAGAACUCCAUGGUAGGUUCACUUUAGGGUGAGCAUAGGGUUUGAAGCCGUACAAAUUCCAGCUGGAGGAGACGAACUGAAUACAUGAUAAUUCAACACUUGUGUAGUCUCAUUGAUUCGGUGUGUCUACUCUAAGUCGGACUAGCAUUCGGAUUUCGAGAAUAAAAUUCUAACUCAUUUUCUCUCCCUCCCGCAAUAAACAAGUUCGGGGACUGAGAUGUAGGUAGAGUUUGGUGUAUACACCUCGGCUGCUCUUUCUCUUAAUCUUUGAUUUUGUUCUCAAGGGCCCUCCUUAAAUUAUGGCGGCAUCUCUUUGCCUGCUUCCUCGGGAGUUAAGUCCUACGGAUCUCAGGAAGAAGUCCUGCCGGCUAAAGGGCCUGGAGGCAAGAGGGGGAUUUCCUUACAAAACACAGGCGAUAGACAUCUAUCAAAUGAAACUCUCGCGGCGGGUCCGAAAUAGAUUUCAGAGACUCUCAAUGGACUCAUCACUGGAAGAGCCCGAAUUGGGCCAAUGCGCAACACAAUCUAGCUGCCAAAGUGAAAGGCCAGGAAUACAGAAAUUGCCAUCUUUACCUCUGAAAACAGAUAUCUAGGAAUUUCUAGCUCUUCCAGCAGGACUCUAUGGUCUAUCUCCAUUCGAGGACUAGAGAUUCUCAGAGAGCUUUCUCCAACAAGAUGGUAGAAAGUUGACCUUAGAGUCACAUUGGAAGACUCAGAAAUUCCCAAAGAGAACUUUUUAAUCAAAUCUGUGAAUAAUCAAAUCCAUACGAGUCAAAACCGCAAAUGUGGAGGGACGCUCUAUUGGAAAAUACCAGCACUUACUCUCUGAGCACAAAGGAAAAAUGAUGUCAUAUCCGUUUGGCAAAUGUGAAUUUUCAUGAACAUGUGGAGACCACCUUUUGAAAACCUCUAGUCCAGAAAAGUAUGAUCUUGUUAGACGUCAACUCUUUGAACAAGUGAUAUUCAGAAGUGCUCAUGUAAUGGCACACAGGUAACUCAGCUGUUAGACUGAAAAACCAUGUCUUUUAACUGCCAUGGACAAAUACAUGGCACUACAAAAUAUAUUUGGUAAGCAGAGGAUGGCUGUUUCUUUGAAGUUGAAAUUGUAGUUGUAUUUGUUCAAAAUAUAUAUACUCCCUUUAAAAGCCUUUUAGUUUAAAAUAUGCACACAGAGAUAAAAAACCAGUCUCCUUUUAAAAGAACAUAUCUUAUUUACUCAUUAACAACUUGUAUUAAUUCUCCAUACAGGUAUAUUUCUUAUUGAAUUUCAGUUACAGAUAGGAUGUAGCUUCUUUGCCUUGAGUCAUUCUUAAUCAAUAGUCCAUAGUCUUUAAGAAUAGUUGUACUCACUGAAGUCCAUAAGCAAUAUGCAUCCACCUCCACUGAACAUCUGCUUUCAUUGAAGGCCAAACACACACUGAAUACAAAAUGGAGUCCUGAGUCUGAACAUGCUCAGCACAAUCUCAUGUUUAUAUUCCUUCCUACACCAAAGAGGUACAGUCAAACUGACAAAUCAACACACACACAGAAUACAGGUUGGAAAAUAUAUACAUUAACAAAUAGUGUAGGCUUGGGAGUUUGCUAUUUCCAACAUGCUCAGGUCCAUUCUGUGAGCUUGGGCAAGUCAGCCCUCAAAUAAAUCUUAACAAGAAAACUGUGGGAUCUAUUUGAAAACACAAAAUAACAGCAAUCUAUGGCCAAAAUCCCUCCUUACUAGAGUAAACCCAUUGAAUCAGUGAAUCUUCUUAUAUAGAAAAAAAUUGAGUAUAAAUAAACAUAAUACUAAUACUAAUAAUAAUAAUAAUAAUAAUGUUUUCCGUGUGUUGACUCAUCAUUCAACAGCUGAGUCAUUUACCAACAGCAUAUAGAUGUAUAUCUAUUAGUAGAUAGAUAUGAAUCUCUCACAGCUAGAAUGUCUAUAUCCAUGUAGGUUGGCAUUCUGUUGAGAUGGAGACCAGCUGCUUUUUAGGAUUAGUAAUACUUUGUAAUCAAUUUCAUAGAUUUAGUAGGGUUGAAAUUGUUUGGUCUGUCUUCCUUCUUCCCCCUCUUCCUCAACCAAUUCUCUUUGGAUGAAACAGAAAUAAAGUAGUGGAGGCUAAUUCCAAGCCAGGUCUAGGA